UGAACGCUGGCGGCGUGCCUAACACGAUGCAAGUCGAACGGGGUUAAGGGAAGUUUCGGAUGGAACUUAACUUAGUGGCGGACGGGUGAGUAACGCGUGGAUAACCUGCCUCACACAGGGGGAUAGCAGCUGGAAACGGCUGGUAAUACCGCAUAAGACCCCGGUGCCGCAUGGCACAGAGGUAAAGAUUUAUCGGUGUGAGAUGGAUCCGCGUCUGAUUAGCCAGUUGGCGGGGUAACGGCCCACCAAAGCGACGAUCAGUAGCCGGCCUGAGAGGGUGAACGGCCACAUUGGGACUGAGACACGGCCCAAACUCCUACGGGAGGCAGCAGUGGGGAAUAUUGCACAAUGGGCGCAAGCCUGAUGCAGCCAACGCCGCGUGAGUGAAGAAGUAUUUCGGUAUGUAAAGCUCUAUCGGCAGGGAAGAAAGGCCCGAAAGGGAGAUGACGGUACCUGACUAAGAAGCCCCGGCUAACUACGUGCCAGCCGCUGC
rnacentral:rRNA from 1 species